CGCGACCCCAGGUCAGACGGGAUUACCCGCUGAGUUUAAGCAUAUCAAUAAGCGGAGGAAAAGAAACUUACCAGGAUUCCCUUA
rnacentral:rRNA from 2 species